rnacentral:rRNA from 1 species
AACGAACGCUGGCGGCGCGCCUAAUACAUGCAAGUCGAGCGAGAAGGUGUAGCAAUACACUUGUAAAGCGGCGAACGGGUGAGGAAUACAUGGGUAAUCUACCAUCGGGUGGGGAAUAACCAGCCGAAAGGUUGGCUAAUACCGCGUACGCUUCCGAGUCUUCGGGCUUGGAAGGAAAGCCGCACUGUGAGUGCGGCGCUCUUUGAUGAGCUCAUGUCCUAUCAGCUUGUUGGUAGGGUAACGGCCUACCAAGGCUUUGACGGGUAGCUGGUCUGAGAGGACGAUCAGCCACACUGGCACUGCGACACGGGCCAGACUCCUACGGGAGGCAGCAGUAAGGAAUAUUGCGCAAUGGGCGAAAGCCUGACGCAGCGACGCCGCGUGGGGGAUGAAGGUCUUCGGAUUGUAAACCCCUUUCGGGAGGGAAGAUGGAGCGAGCAAUCGUUCGGACGGUACCUCCAGAAGCAGCCACGGCCAACUUCGUGCCAGCAC